AUGCCUCGGAUGCGCCCCCUUCUAUCCCGAGCUCCAGAUCGAUGGCUGCAGCGGCGAGAUGAAAUUGCAACACCUGGUACCGAGACCAUGCUGGGAUUUUCUGAUCAUGUCAGGAGCUUUGUAAAUCCUGUAUGGACGUCUUCUUUGAGUGGAAAUUAUUCGAAUACAACAUCACGGACAGGAAAACAGUUGGACAUCAGCCAUGAAAAGGUUCGAGGUCUUUCACGGAGUUUCCUACCAGCUAUUCAUCUAGAGCACUAUCCUUGUGAAAAUUUCUCAUUUUCUCCUCCACCUAUUGAUAGGAGACGCACUCGACAAGGGUCAUGUCCUGAUUGUUAUGUGCCUGUUGACUAG
rnacentral:rRNA from 1 species